rnacentral:rRNA from 1 species
AUUGAACGCUGGCGGAAUGCUUUACACAUGCAAGUCGAACGGCAGCACGGGGGCAGCCCUGGUGGCGAGUGGCGAACGGGUGAGUAAUACAUCGGAACGUGCCCGGUCGUGGGGGAUAACGUAGCGAAAGUUACGCUAAUACCGCAUACGAUCUGAGGAUGAAAGCGGGGGACCUUCGGCCUCGCGCGGUCGGAGCGGCCGAUGGCAGAUUAGGUAGUUGGUGGGGUAAAGGCCUACCAAGCCGACGAUCUGUAGCUGGUCUGAGAGGACGACCAGCCACACUGGGACUGAGACACGGCCCAGACUCCUACGGGAGGCAGCAGUGGGGAAUUUUGGACAAUGGGCGCAAGCCUGAUCCAGCCAUUCCGCGUGCAGGACGAAGGCCUUCGGGUUGUAAACUGCUUUUGUACGGAACGAAAAGGCUCUGGCUAAUACCUGGGGCUCAUGACGGUACCGGAAGAAUAAGCACCGGCUAACUACGUG